AUGAUGCUCGACGCGUCGCGCAACGUCAAGCUCGGCGACUUCGGGCUGGCGAGGCUCGUCGACCACGGCGCAGAGCCGCAGACGACGCAGGUCGUGGCAGGCACCGUCGGGUACAUUGACCCGGAGUUCGUCAACGACCGCAGGCCGAGCGCCGAGUCCGACGUGUACAGCUUCGGCGUCGUGCUCCUCGAGAUCGCCUGCGGCAGGCGGCCGGCGUCGAGGGGGCCAGGCCAUGCCUCGGCGGCGCUGCUGGCGUCUGUCCGGGAGAUGUACUGCCGGAACCAGAUCCUUGACGCGGCAGACAGGAGGCUCGACGGCGACUUCGACGGGCUGCAGAUGGAGCGUCUGCUCGUGACAGGGCUUUGGUGCAUGCACCACGAUCCGGUGCGGCGGCCGUCGGUGACGCAGGCUGUCGAUGUGCUACGAUCUGAGGACGCCAGGUUGCCGGUGCUUGAAGCGGUGCGUGGUUCUGGGGAGAUUCACUUCUUGGAGGGACAGGCUUAUGGUGAUCUACCCGCCGAGGACUCUGCUUAUUUGCAUGAAUCAACUGAAACUGCGUACCUUAGUGCUACCGAGGACUGA
rnacentral:rRNA from 1 species